rnacentral:rRNA from 1 species
UGGGGAAUUUUGGACAAUGGGCGAAAGCCUGAUCCAGCAAUGCCGCGUGUGUGAAGAAGGCCUUCGGGUUGUAAAGCACUUUUGUCCGGAAAGAAAUCCUUGGCUCUAAUACAGUCGGGGGAUGACGGUACCGGAAGAAUAAGCACCGGCUAACUACGUGCCAGCAGCCGCGGUAAUACGUAGGGUGCAAGCGUUAAUCGGAAUUACUGGGCGUAAAGCGUGCGCAGGCGGUUUGCUAAGACCGAUGUGAAAUCCCCGGGCUCAACCUGGGAAUUGCAUUGGUGACUGGCAGGCUAGAGUAUGGCAGAGGGGGGUAGAAUUCCACGUGUAGCAGUGAAAUGCGUAGAGAUGUGGAGGAAUACCGAUGGCGAAGGCAGCCCCCUGGGCCAAUACUGACGCUCAUGCACGAAAGCGUGGGGAGCAAACAGGAUUAGAUACCCUGGUAGUCCACGCCCUAAAACGAUGUCAACUAGUUGUUGGGGAUUCAUUUCCUUAGUAACGUAGCUAACGCGUGAAGUUGACCGCCUGGGGAGUACGGUCGCAAGAUUAAAACUCAAAUGAAUUGACGGGGUCAUAGCUG